CAGCAACAACAUGGAAGCUGCAGCUGGCUCCGCCAUAGCAGCUUCAGGUUGCUUUUCUUGCUGCCCCACCUCUAAAACGUGAAAUGUGUGACUGAAUUGAACUGAAUUUCAGGAAUAGCUACACUUUUCCUGAGCUUUGACGUGACUAUGGUUGUAGUAGUUUACUCAUAGACAAUGCAUCGUCCACUAUUGUCCCCUCUCAAUGUUUGCACUUGCUUGAAGUUUCUUUUAUAAUGCUACAUUAAGUAAUCUUCACUAGCUUAGAUCCUAACAGGAAGAUGUGGCUGUAUGUUUCGUCACUCCAAUUCUCUCCAGAAUCAACAGGCAGUUGGAGGCAAGCAUCCAUGUGUUCUCUUUGUGGCCCAUGUGUUCUCUAUGUUUUUCUGAAUCCAGAAUUUUAUACUACCCUGUUUUCUGAACCUAGAAUAUACUUUGCCAAGCAGGUUGUCUUAGGAAAGCCAGUUUUAGGUGGUGUCAAACUUAUAUAAUUGAACAUCUCUGAAAACUCAGGUCUACACAUAGCUAAAUUCUUAUUUUUGGCUUGUCGGUAAGCACCAAGCAACAAAAAAGUAAUACCAUAAUCUAAAAAUAUUAAUCAAUGUUAAUACAGAUUUCCACUAACUAAGUACUAAUAGGGUCAACAGAUGAUCCUUUUGCUCUCUAGCAUAUGCUUAGAAGAACUUAUGGAAGUGUCCUACUGGUUACUGGUUGUAUAUGUGUGAAAUUGUCAACAUUAUUAUGCUGCUACCUUCUCCUUCAAAAAAUUUGACAGAUGCCUAGAAGAACUUAUGGAAUGAUCAGACACGGUGAUUAUGUACUCUAAAGGAAAAGCAUAUGCUUGUCUGACCAAUUUUUGGUAGUUUUAGGAAUAUUUAGUCUAUGUGCUUCUGUUUGCAUUAAUGGAGUAAUAGAGGAUCCAAACUAUUUGGUAGAGAAAUCUGAUAAUGAGUUUUUGUUUUAGCGGCUUUAUUUUCAUUCCAUUCAGGGAACGGGUACUAAGUAUUAUGCAUAAAUAACAAUAAUUAAGGGGACGCAGGGAAAUUUUUUAACUUGUUUGGCGGACCUUCUUAUUCAGGUAAAGUUUAGAUAGGAUUUAUUUUCAACAAAUGACGUAGCUGGCAUGACAAAUUUAUUCAUGUCUUGUUUUGAAAUCUGCAGGUUACAUCUAACUAAGCUAAGAUAGUAUGUCAAUUAGUAGGUUAGAUUUCAACACGGACAGUACGCGUUGCUCACUGGUGCUUCUUGCAAAAUGCAGCAAUUGCUAUUUAAUUCCUUUUAUCUUACCUGAACAUGGCUACAACCUACAAUCAUUCUCAUGAAAUUAACAAUAAGAGCUCUUUUCUUUUAUGUUUAACUAAAACACUUAGAUGAAUGAUAAAAGAAUUCAAUAAGUACCUGAAUGGUUUUAGAGUAUCACUUAACAUAUAAUUGAGUUUAUUUAUGUAUUUUAGAGCACUGCAGUAUAAUUGAGUUUAAUAUUUUUUAGAUGAAAUGAAUGGUUUUAUAUAACUGAAGCUGUAUGUACAUUCCAUCAUACUAUAUUGCAGGUAUCUGUACAUCUUUCUAAAGUUAAAGUUUGUUAUGUUAUGAACGGUUCUUUAUUUGCAGCGUAACAUCCUAUUUACCUACCUGGUGCAGCUUAGAUGUCCUCCCCGUGCCACAUUGAGCUCAUCUUGUCGAAGAAGGAAGAGUCUGUGAAGAAAGAGUUAUAUUUGGUUGUAUACUCUUUGUGCCUGAUUAUUUGAGUCAAAGCAAGGGAUUAAUGUUGUGCUAUUUGGGUCAAUGGUUUCUUUAGGCUGGAUUCUAGAUCGCUACUAGGAAGGCUUAGAGUAGGGGGUCAUCUUCUGUGAUUGGUUGAGUGAAACUUUUGACUGAUUAUUUGUUGUCUCAUAUACCUAAAUGUUGUUUGCAAGUGCUUUGUCACUUUGAAACUUAACUGCACAUAUAAUUCACCAGUCUUAAGAUUUGUUUGUGGUUUUUUUCAUAUCUGUGCUGCUGGUGAUGUCAAUUGUCAUGUUAAUUAGCAAUUUUGCUGGUAGAUGCG
rnacentral:lncRNA from 1 species